UGCUGUGGUAGCUCAGCAAGGUAGAGCACCUUAAAAUAAAGGCUUGUGAAAGUCUUUUACAGCAAUUUUAUGGCAGAGCACCUUAAGUGUGGUUGUCGCAGGUUCGAUUCCUGUCCCAGCAG
rnacentral:tRNA from 1 species